rnacentral:rRNA from 1 species
CUUGUACACACCGCCCGUCACACCACGAGAGUUUGUAACACCCGAAGUCGGUGAGGUAACCUUUUGGAGCCAGCCGCCUAAGGUGGGAUAGAUGAUUGGGGUGAAGUCGUAACAAGGUAGCCGUAUCGGAAGGUGCGGCUGGAUCACCUCCUUUCUAAGGAA